rnacentral:rRNA from 1 species
UACGUAGGGUGCGAGCGUUAAUCGGAAUUACUGGGCGUAAAGCGUGCGCAGGUGGUUUUGUAAGUCAGAUGUGAAAUCCCCGGGCUUAACCUGGGAACUGCGUUUGAAACUACAAGGCUAGAGUGUGGCAGAGGGGGGUGGAAUUCCACGUGUAGCAGUGAAAUGCGUAGAGAUGUGGAGGAACACCGAUGGCGAAGGCAGCCCCCUGGGUUAACACUGACGCUCAGGCACGAAAGCGUGGGGAGCAAACAGG